CUGCGGAAGGAUCAUUGUCGUGACCCUGAACAAAACAGACCGUGCAUGCGUCAUCCAAUCCGUCGGCGAUGGCACCGUCCAUCGCCCGGCCAAUGCCUCGACCACCUCCCCUCCUCGGAGCGGGUGGGGGCUCGGGGUAAAAGAACCCACGGCGUCGAAGGCGUCAAGGAAUACUGUGCCUAACCCGGGGGCAUGGCUAGCUUGCUAGCCGUCCCUCGUGUUGCAAAGCUAUUUAAUCCACACGACUCUCGGCAACGGAUAUCUCGGCUCUCGCAUCAAUGAAGAACGUAGCGAAAUGCGAUACCUGGUGUGAAUUGCAGAAUCCCACGAACAAUCGAGUCUUUGAACGCAAGUUGCGCCCGAGGCCACUCGGCCGAGGGCACGCCUGCCUGGGCGUCACGCCAAAACACGCUCCCAACCACCCUCAAUGGGAAUCGGGAUGCGGCAUCUGAUCCCUCAUCUCGCAAGGGGCGGUGGACCGAAGAUCAGGCUGCCGGCGUACUGCGCCGGACACAGCGCAUGGUGGGCGUCCUCGCUUUAUCAAUGCAGUGCAUCCGAAGCGUAGCUGGCAUUAUGGCCUCUAAACGACCGAACAAACGAAGCGCACGUUGCUUCGACCGCGACCCCAGGUCAGGCGGGACUACCCGCUGAGUUUAAGCA
rnacentral:rRNA from 1 species